UACGGGGGGAGCAAGCGUUGUUCGGAUUUACUGGGCGUAAAGGGCGCGUAGGCGGUCAGCACAAGUCAGUUGUGAAAUCUCCGGGCUUAACUCGGAAAGGUCAACUGAUACUGUGCGACUAGAGUGCAGAAGGGGCAACUGGAAUUCUCGGUGUAGCGGUGAAAUGCGUAGAUAUCGAGAGGAACACCUGCGGCGAAGGCGGCUUCCUGGACCGACACUGACGCUGAGGCGCGAAAGCUAGGGGAGCAAACGGG
rnacentral:rRNA from 1 species